rnacentral:rRNA from 1 species
UACGAAGGGGGCUAGCGUUGUUCGGAAUCACUGGGCGUAAAGGGCGCGUAGGCGGCUUUGUAAGUCGGGGGUGAAAGCCUGUGGCUCAACCACAGAAUUGCCUUCGAUACUGCAUGGCUUGAGACCGGAAGAGGUGAGUGGAACUGCGAGUGUAGAGGUGAAAUUCGUAGAUAUUCGCAAGAACACCAGUGGCGAAGGCGGCUCACUG